GACGAACGCUGGCGGCGUGCUUAACACAUGCAAGUCGAACGGAAAGGCCCUGCUUUUGUGGGGUGCUCGAGUGGCGAACGGGUGAGUAACACGUGAGUAACCUGCCCUUGACUUUGGGAUAACUUCAGGAAACUGGGGCUAAUACCGGAUAGGAGCUCCUGCUGCAUGGUGGGGGUUGGAAAGUUUCGGCGGUUGGGGAUGGACUCGCGGCUUAUCAGCUUGUUGGUGGGGUAGUGGCUUACCGAGGCUUUGACGGGUAGCCGGCCUGAGAGGGUGACCGGCCACAUUGGGACUGAGAUACGGCCCAGACUCCUACGGGAGGCAGCAGUGGGGAAUAUUGCACAACGGGCGGAAGCCUGAUGCAGCAACGCCGCGUGCGGGAUGACGGCCUUCGGGUUGUAAACCGCUUUCGCCUGUGACGAAGCGUGAGUGACGGUAAUGGGUAAAGAAGCACCGGCUAACUACGUG
rnacentral:rRNA from 1 species